UAAACACGUGUAGUGGUGGGGUACAGGGCAACUAGAAAGUGGCAGGGCCAACUAUAAGCAUACUGGUAGCUGAGGUGAUGAUAGCUGUUGGUUUUUACUCUACUACAUUGCAAAAGUUUCUGAAGUGGACUCCAGAGCUCUCUCAAAGCUGGUUUUUGGAGUAUACUUUUUAAUUGAUCUUUGUUGGGAAGAUGGAGUCCAGGGUCUCCUAUUCUGCUGGCUUGAUGACAUCACUCUGGAGCUCGGUCAUUUCCUCCUCUCAGGAAGAACAGAGUCCUUUCAUGUAGAAUCUGACACCCAGAAGCCUAUAUAUUUUUUCAGUGUUGCAGAGUAUGGCUUGCUUUUCUUUCUUUGGCAUGACAGUUCUGAUUCUUCAGCCUCCCCAUGAAGAAGAGAAAAAUUCCCUUGAAGCUGAACUAAAUUCAUCAGCAAAUGAAAUUACAUUCAUUUGAUAAAAUGCUAAAUGGAAAAAGGCAGGUUUAUUUUAAGCCGUCAACAGGCUGUUGUAGUUAAUCAUGCACACUGCAGAAGACAGGAGUUUGGUUGCUAAGAAAAUGGUUGGCAUGUUUCCACGAGAUCCAUGUGAUGUGAAAUGCAUCUGCUCGUUUUAACAGUGAAAUAGAAAAAAAUAAAAUAAACACUUCAGGGUAUAUUUGGUGAGUCACUAUGGAACACAAGGCCAAAAUAA